rnacentral:rRNA from 1 species
GACGAACGCUGGCGGCGUGCUUAACACAUGCAAGUCGAACGAUGAAGCUAGAGCUUGCUCUGGUGAAUUAGUGGCGAACGGGUGAGUAACACGUGAGUAACCUGCCCCGAACUCUGGGAUAACUGCUGGAAACGGUAGCUAAUACUGGAUACGACCUACGAAGGCAUCUUCUGUAGGUGGAAAGAAUUUCGGUUCGGGAUGGACUCGCGGCCUAUCAGCUUGUUGGUGAGGUAAUGGCUCACCAAGGCGACGACGGGUAGCCGGCCUGAGAGGGGGACCGGCCACGAUGGGACUGAGACACGGCCCAGACUCCUACGGGAGGCAGCAGUGGGGAAUAUUGCACAAUGGGCGCAAGCCUGAUGCAGCAACGCCGCGUGAGGGAUGACGGCCUUCGGGUUGUAAACCUCUUUUAGUAGGGAAGAAGCGAAAGUGACGGUACCUGCAGAAAAAGCACCGGCUAACUACAUGCCAGCCGCCGCCGUAA